rnacentral:tRNA from 1 species
UCCCUGGUGGCUCAGGUGGUAAAGCAUCUGCCUACAAUGCAGGAGACCUGGGUUUGAUCCCUGGGUCGGGAA